AACGUGAUGGGACUGAAUCCCAAGCAGAUACAGAUAUCAAUGUUAUUAAUGCUGAUACCUUCCCUCUUCCACCCCAAAUACAUGACACAAUAUGUGACAAGCACUUAGGACUGAAAGGAAAAUGCGGGUGACAGAAAGCAAGAAAGCUCUUCUGAAAUACUACAUGGAGUUGGCUGUCUGCUGAAUUCAUACAGAGUUAUGGCACCUCAGGUGCCAUGAUUUUUUCCAGACUGCUACAAACAAAAUAAAAGCCACCGAAUGAGAAAAAGAAUAAAACACGGCUAGAGCUAAAGCACAAGCAACAACAGAAAUAACAGUUGAUGUUUAAAAAAAGAGCAAAAAGAGCUCUGCAGACCUCAGUUCUCCUGAUAAAUUCUAGCUCAUCAAAUCUAGGCAUGACCCGGUUUUGACACCAUUAACAUAUUUCCCCAUUCUAAAGUUUGAAAGGACGAUGAGAGGCCGAGGCCAGCCCUAAACUCUUGCCAGGAUAUUAGAAUAUCAUCAUGCUAUCAAAAAGCCACUUAGGAACCUCUGAGCUUCCCUGUCCCUUGUCACCCAGCCCCACAGGCGGGUAAGUGAAAAGGAAUAUGAACACACCAAAUACUCAAUAUUUGUGUUUCUGUGUGAAGGCAAGUUUUCUCCAGUGGCAGGGAGAGGGGCAAAUACUCAUUUAGAAAUAAAUUCCAAAGUACUCUGUUCUUCCAGAAAAGAUCUGCCCUCAAGAGGAACGAAGAGCCUAACUGGGGAUUUCCCAAAGAGUAAGCAAUACAGGUGAGGGAAAAUACUCAACUCCAGGGCUCUCACCUUCCUGUCUCACCUGGGAGUCAAUUCAGACUAACCCCUAGCCAGAUAAAUAUAAAAACCUCACACUCAUGUCCUAUUUACCUCAGUUCCUUUACCAGCACAUAACAUUUGCCUUUCAACACAACUUACAAGGCAUAGUAAAGUAAAAACCACACAGUUUGAACACAGAUAGCAAGCAUUAGAAUUACACUUCCUAUGGCAGAGAUGUAGGAAUUAUCAUCCUGGGAACUUAAAACCACUUCCAUUCCUAUGAUAAUGCAGAUGAUGAAAAAAGUGGACAACAUGUAAAAAGAGAUGGUGAAUGUAAGCAGACAGCUGAACCUCUAAGAUUUUAAAGUGAUUUGAGAAGCAGCGAAGGCAGUCCUGAGAGGAAAAUACAUUGCAAUCCAGGCCUAUCUCAGGAAACAAGAAAAAUCCCAAAACCA